CACCAUAGCCAGAGCUGAGCAGUGCUCUGGUAAAAAAAAAUGUGACCCUCUUCCCUGUUCUGUUAAUUAAACUUUGGGGCAUUGAAACAGAGGCUAGUGAAGAUGACUGGAUAGAAAACACUCUAUUCAUUUACUUCUCAGGUUACAGUU
ensembl:snoRNA